AAUAUGAGUCAAAAUAUAAAAACCGUGCUUGUGCCUCAGUGUUAUGAUGUGUCUUCAAGACGGAAAUUACGGUAUAAUUAUGGCUUAAACCCCGCAAACAUGGAAAGGUGAUACCGCUGUUCUGGACUUGCAGCAUUGAAGACGCUAGGGAUCACGUGAGAAAACCACACACGAAAAAUGUUCGCAUAAGAUACGGCAAAAAUGUAAAGGUAAUGUCGCUGUUGUGGACUUGAAGCAGUGAAGAUGCUAGGGAUCACCAGAUCUCCAGAUCCUGUGAGAAAACCACACACGAAAAAUUUUCGCAUAAGAGACAAGUAAGGUUGUCUGAACCUAAUUAUUCGUCUAUUAAUGC